UGCACGGCCAUGUAGAGGAUGUAGCGUUAUUCGUGGUGUUGUGUUAAUGGUUUUCAAGUCAGGUUUAUGACAUAUUAUUAUGAUCAUUAUGACAUAAUAUGUAUGAUCUAUAUAAAAGUUCGAUUUUAGUUAUAUGACUGGAAAGCAAAAUGCGUAUAAAUUCUCAUUAUCAAACUCGGGCCAUGAGUAAUGGAUAUAUGCAUUUCUGGCAGGGAGCAACUCUUAUAUUUCAAGAGCAUGGCAUUGAGCUCUGAACCAGAAGAAAUGUACACCAAAGUCUGGCGCCCAUAGAGUCAGAGAUGGCUGCAAGUGAAGAACCCAAGGAAGAUAAUAUGAUGCUUUUAAUAAGCGAUAAUGUUGUUAGAAAGGAAGACAGCCAGAUAAGAAAGAUUCACAGCUGUCCAUAUAAAUAUUGUGAGCGCUCAUUCAAUAGGCCGUGGCGUCUGGCCAGUCAUGUUCGUUCACAUACAGGCCAGCGUUCUCACCCAUGUGAAGUCCCAGGAUGCAAGAAGGCAUACUUCAAUUCGAGCCAUCUGCGUCGCCACAUGACCACCAGCCACAGGGCAGAGUCACUUCUUAAAACUCUUCUGAAGUGUCCUCACCCAAGCUGCAUCGUGGAGUUAAGUAGUUCAUGCAGCCUGAAGCGACACUGCUGGCGUAUACAUGAACGUCAGCACCUGUUCACCUGCACGAACUGUGAUAGGGGCUUCUCCAGGCAGAGUCAGUGGCAGGCACAUCUGUAUGAACACACUGGUGUUCCGCCCUUCAUGUGUUCUACAUGUCAGCUGGGUUUCAUAAACCAGAGGGACUUCAAUCGCCACAAUAGGCGGCAUGCGAAGAACUACUUAUGUGAGGUUUCUGAUUGUGGGAAGCACUUUGAAUGCUACACACACUUACUGAGGCAUACAACACUGCAUCAUCCCACAGAAUUCGUCUGUGAUGUAUGCAACAAAAGUUUCAAAGCAAAGUGUCGGCUGUUGACACAUAUGUCUGUUCACCAAGAAUCAUCACAAAGAGAAAUGCUGUCCUGCCCAUACAGCAACUGUGCACGUUCAUACUAUCACAAAAGAAACCUUGUGUACCACAUUGGUGUCAGUCACAAGGGGAAGAGACGGAACCAUAGGCAGAGUGCAAAGAAUGUCAUCACACAGAACAAAGGAAGACACUUGGAAGGAAAUGACACAUGUGAGAAGAAGCCAUUGGUCGUAUCUAAAACUGACUUGCAUGACAGUAUCAGUUAUGUAUCUAUGUAUACUCUCAAAAAUAGCAGCUGUUUUGGUGUAUCAGCAGACGGCAAUGCAAGUGAUGGAGAGGACAACAAGAUUAUGAUCAAAGUGGAACCUGCUUUGUAUAGUGACACCCUACAGUCAUCUUCCUAUGGCCAAAUACAACAGGAGGAGCAGUCGGUACUACAUGCAGUAAAGACUGAAGCUCUGCAUGGCAUGGAGUCUGAGGGUCCCCUGUUGGCUGCAGACACACUGGUACUGAAGACUGAAACUCUAGUGAGUUCCCAUUUUAUUUGCAUUGCUGAGUGACUGAGUCCUUGGGAAGCUAACAGUCUUCUGCCCUGAAGCUGGAUGCAGUAGGUUCCUCCAAAACAUUGGUAACCUCUUACCAGACUGCAUGAUAUCGUAAUUGAAACUAAUGAUUCAGCUGCUCAAGAAAUUCCAUGCCCUUUAUACAGACUUAAUACUCAUAACCUGAAGAUGGAGGCAGUGUUUAUCUGAAACAUGAGUUUCUACCAUCGAGACUGCAUGUUGUCAAUACGUGUUCAGCUAUUCAAGUAAUUUCAUUUAAUUUAUGGAAUGCAAAGGUUCAUUCCCGUGCUCAUAGGGGCCUGCCACUGGUUCCUGUCCUGAGUAAAUGCAUCAGAACUGUGACAUGGAUUUGGGAGGAGGCACUUGUGGCCUCUUUGUACAUAUUGUCAGCCCAUGUGCAUGGAGAGACUAGGGUAAACUGUAGCAACCCUUGGCUGGGAGAACCAGUAACUGAACCAAGCUUCCGUGCAUGUAACUUGAAGAUAACAGUCAAGAAUGCUGCAGCUGCUUGCUUUAUCUCUGUUGAUUUUGAGUAUUCUGUAACCUUUAUCAUCCAGGAAUAAGGGAUCUUAAAUUUGCUAGUAAUAUGGGCUAGGCAUGCAGAUUUUAAGUGAGGAGUACUGAAAAUGCGAUACCUCAGCCAGUUGGGCCAUGCACAUGUAUCCAUUGCAGUAGUGCAACGUGUGGCCAUUGAAGUUUAAGCACUGUCUAAUUCCAAACCAUCAUUUGAUAAGUCAGUAAAUAAACAGACACUGCCUCAGAACCUUGUAUCUGGUAUAUAGUAUACUGGCAUUUGUAAAUGGGGAGAGUGCAUUCCCCAGCUGCGGUGAAGCCAACAAGCAAGUGUUCUUUGUUACGCCAGCAUCUCUUGUGCUUCACAUCUCUGUGAUACCCCAGACAAAGGGACACUGAUGGUUCCUGCAGACAUUGUCCAAUAUAACCCAGUACAUGCACAGCAAAACCUACACUAAGAAGUAAUAACAGACAUAUUUGCACAUGCCAACAUCAGUUGGAAGUACCAAUCAGAAACACAGUACACCACGCAGUUACAGACAAGUUAUUGCAUGCUACAAGAGGCAACCUACUUCAUAAUUAGCUGACAUCUAUAUCAAAGAAACAGUGAAAUUUUGAAUGUUACCAGUCACCAUCCAAGUAAAAUUAAAAUACUGUGGCAUAUUUGAUCAACACAUUGCCAGGCAGUAUCUCUGUAAGCACAAUACGCGCCUGCAACAGUAGAGCAAGCUGCGUUUUCCAUGUGUCCGGCAGUUGACGUAAGGUCGGUGAUGUCACACAUCGACAGUAGGUGGCUGUCACCUGACAUGUUUCUUGCCUGUCCAUCAGCUGCAGUGAUGUCACACAGCAACAGUGGGAACAGUCACAAGAUGUUCCUGAAGUUAAGCUUGAAAUGAAAAAUGAAAUAAUGACAGAGGAUCAUUGUGUUUGAAUGUGGACAGGUG